CCGGCAAAUGCGGAAGGAAUUACAUGGGGGUCGUAAAUGCAGGUUCGAAUCCUGCUCCUGCCUUGCAGGAUAGUCUAACGGGCAAGACGAUGACUGUUUAUUUCUUCAAACCCUCGUUGUCGGGUU
rnacentral:Y_RNA from 1 species